GAUAGAUUUUUUAUUGAAAAGAUGUAGAAAAAGAAAGAAAAGAAAGUCAACCAUCAUCAUCUUUUUACCUUCUCUCCCACGUCUCUCACUUCCAUUUUUUAACAAGUUUUUAAUUUCUUCCAUUUUGGUCCCUUCUUCCAUUACCAACCCUUUCAAGCUUUAACUUCCAAUUUCCUCCAUGGAUUUUUAGUGAAAUCCCAAGAACAACUUCAUGGCAAGUUAAGUCGUUUGUGAAGUUAGCUAGAAUACAUAUUUGUGGGAAGAGAAAAGAAAAGUUAAGGAUUUGAGAAGGAAGGUAAGAUGAUGAAGUUUUUUUUAUUUAGGAUUUCAUGUCUAUUUCAUCUAAAUGCGUGGGAAUAGUAUGUAAUUGUUGUUUUGGUAUUAAAUAUUGUGAAUGUGUUUUAGGUUAUUGAAGAGAAAGAUAAAAGAAGUGAAGCACAGAUUAGGGAUAAAGGCAAGGGAGUUGCAAAAGAGUGAAGAAGAAGAGAAUGACUCAUCCAAGUAUUAGAUUGUAAGUAUAUCAAUAAUUUUACUUGUUUAAUUAAACCCUAAAUGGAAAACUUGAUAAAUUGGUUUAGUAUCAUACAUCAGAAUUAUUUGUAUAUGAAAAUGAUUGUUUAUUUUAUGGAAUUUAUUUGAAUGUGAAAUUGUAUUCUUAUUAUGAAUUGAAAAGUGUAUGUGUAGUGAAAUUGGUGAGAAGAACUAAAUUGCAAAUAGUGUAAAAGUUAGAUGGGUGAAAUAGAUGAUGAUAUGAAGUAUUUAAGUGAAAUAUAAAAUGUUGAAAAUAGACAUCAAGUGAAAUUUGAUGAUUGUUGAUUUUAUAUGGAUAAGGACUAAAUUGUAAAAAUAGUAAAGUUUGAAUUGUUUUAUUUGUUGAGAAAAUGUAAAUAAAUUGUAUAGUUUAAAUGCCCAAGUAAAUAAAAUGAGAACUAGGAGGAUACAAGUGGCAUGCCAUUAGUAAAAUUUUUAUACACGCAAAUGAUAGUGGCAUUAUGGUGCAUGUUUUAGUAGCACUAUGAUGCAAGUGACAAUAGCACACUCGUGCAAUUGACAAUGGCACUUCAGUGCAAUCUAUUGACUUUUAUCCUAUACAUCCUAUGGAGUCUACAAUUGGGCAAUAGAUUUUUAAGGUAAGUGAUUACAAUGAUGGUAAUGGUAAGUAACUCAAAAAGUUGUUAACUUAGUACCUCAUUAUAAUUAUUAAUGAAUUGAAUUCAUGUGUGAUGAUAUUGAUUUGUAAGGUAUAUAUAUAUAGUAAUGGAUUAAUUUAAAAUGCAAAGUUUAACUCUUGAUAUACUUACAUGAACUUAAUGCAUUGUUUCUUUAACGCAUAGGUGAAGAUUGUUUUGAAACUUUAGAGUGAAGAUCAAUUCUGACUCAUCUCAAUACAAACUGAGGCUUGGAAGAGAGUAUGUUUUGAUUUUUGGCAAUAAUUGAUGGCAUGUACAUAGGGUCAUGUUAACAAUGUUGUGGAUGAACUUUCAUGGAAACAUUUGAUAGUAUUUGAUUCUUCAUGCAAAUUUUGUAAACUUGGACUUGUUUAAUUUAGUUUUAAGUGGCAUUAUAUGAUGUCUUGAUGGGGAACCAUGUGUGAUAAUGUUUAGGAAGUGUUGUGGAAUGAAUUAAAAAUGUUUAGAUUUUGUUUUAAGUGUUUCAAACAUGUUCUAGACAAUCUACCUCAGGUGUCAUGACCAUCCAAUACUCAAUGUCACAACAUUAGCUCAACGUCGCAAUAUCCGACCCGUAGUGUCGUAACAUUGGAGCAUGGGAGUCUCUAAUGAGUAAUCUAUUUUGGGUGUCGCGACACUCAUACCCCAGUGUCGUGACAUUGACUCUGUUUGUCUUGUUUUGAUUUGAAUAGGCCUGAUUGGC
rnacentral:lncRNA from 1 species